rnacentral:rRNA from 1 species
AAGAAUAAGCACCGGCUAACUACGUGCCAGCAGCCGCGGUAAUACGUAGGGUGCAAGCGUUAAUCGGAAUUACUGGGCGUAAAGCGUGCGCAGGCGGAUAUGUAAGUUAGAAGUGAAAUCCCCGGGCUCAACCUGGGAACUGCUUUUAAGACUGCGUAUCUAGAGUUUGUCAGAGGGGGGUGGAAUUCCAAGUGUAGCAGUGAAAUGCGUAGAGAUUUGGAGGAACACCGAUGGCGAAGGCAGCCCCCUGGGAUAAAACUGACGCUCAUGCACGAAAGCGUGGGUAGCAAACAGGAUUAGAUACCCUGGUAGUCCACGCCCUAAACGAUGUCUACUUGCUGUUGGGGGUAACCUUAGUAGCGAAGCUAACGCGAGAAGUAGACCGCCUGGGGAGUACGGUCGCAAGAUUAAAACUCAAAGGAAUUGACGGGGACCCGCACAAGCGGUGGAUGAUGUGGAUUAAUUCGAUGCAACGCGAAAAACCUUACCUGCUCUUGACAUGUACGGAAGACUUCAGAGAUGAGGUUGUGCCUUCGGGAACCGUAACACAGGUGCUGCAUGGCUGUCGUCAGCUCGUGUCGUGAGAUGUUGUCUUAAGUGACGCAACGAGCGCAACCCUUGCCACUAGUUGCCAUCAUUAAGUUGGGCACUUUAGUGGGACUGCCGGAGCUAAUCCGGAGGAAGGUGGGGAUGACGUCAAGUCCUCAUGGCCCUUAUGAGCAGGGCUUCACACGUCAUACAAUGGUAGGUAACAGAGGGACGCAAGACCGCGAGGUGGAGCAAAUCCCAUAAACCCUAUCGUAGUCCGGAUCGUAGUCUGCAACUCGACUACGUGAAGUCGGAAUCGCUAGUAAUCGCGGAUCAGAAUGUCGCGGUGAAUACGUUCCCGGGUCUUGUACACACCGCCCGUCACACCAUGGGAG